rnacentral:rRNA from 1 species
UACGUAGGGGGCAAGCGUUGUCCGGAUUUAUUGGGCGUAAAGCGCGCGUAGGCGGCAAGGUGUGUCGUGCGUGAAAUCUCCCGGCUUAACUGGGAGGGGCCGUGCGAAACUGCCUGGCUUGAGGUCGGAAGGGGAAAGUGGAAUUCCGGGUGUAGUGGUGGAAUACGUAGAUAUCCGGAGGAACACCAGCGGCGAAGGCGGCUUUCUGGUCCGAUUCUGACGCUGAGGAGCGAAAGCCAGGGGAGCAAACGGG